CAGUCGCCGCGGUAAUACGUAGGGUGCGAGCGUUAAUCGGAAUUACUGGGCGUAAAGCGUGCGCAGGCGGUUGUGUAAGACAGGUGUGGAAUCCCCGGGCUUAACCUGGGAACUGCGCUUGUGACUGCACAGCUAGAGUAUGGCAGAGGGGGGUGGAAUUCCACGUGUAGCAGUGAAAUGCGUAGAGAUGUGGAGGAACACCGAUGGCGAAGGCAGCCCCCUGGGCCAAUACUGACGCUCAUGCACGAAAGCGUGGGGAGCAAACAGGAUUAGAUACCCCUGUAGUCCCUGUCUCUUAUAC
rnacentral:rRNA from 1 species